UACGUAGGGUGCAAGCGUUAAUCGGAAUACUGGGCGUAAAGCGUGCGCAGGCGGUUUUGUAAGUCUGUCGUGAAAUCCCCGGGCUCAACCUGGGAAUUGCGAUGGAGACUGCAAGGCUAGAAUCUGGCAGAGGGGGGUAGAAUUCCACGUGUAGCAGUGAAAUGCGUAGAGAUGUGGAGGAACACCGAUGGCGAAGGCAGCCCCCUGGGUCAAGAUUGACGCUCAUGCACGAAAGGCGUGGGGAGCAAACAGG
rnacentral:rRNA from 1 species